rnacentral:piRNA from 1 species
UUAGACUCUUUUAUGUGCUAU